UUGAGGCUGACACAUCAGAGAUGAGGUAACACCUGUGAAGUUUUCAGGCAAUGUCGACACAGGAGAGCUGUUUAAAAGCUAAUUGGGUUUCUUAAGGCACCCAUAUGCAGACUGAGUUGAUGAGCGUGAUCUUUUAUUCAUCAUUAAGCUUUUUAUUCUCGAGCCCGACUGUGAUACGGAGACUAAGACAGCAUGAAGUCCAGGAUGGUGUGUUUUCUGAUGAUUAUUCUUUGCAUCAGUGCCCAUGCAACUAGGUGCCAUGGUAAGCACGGUACUAGCAGUGAGUCGGACAGUAAAGAGAGGAACUCAGUAGACCUGCCUUCACUUAUCUGCACUCUGUUUCCGACUCUGUGUUCACAAACGACUACAACGACAACAACAACAACAAAAGCCACAACGACAACAAAGGCAAUCACGACUUCGGUCACCCCCCGAGGAGAUAUUUGAUAAGCUACAGCCUCUAAAAUGAAUCCAACACGAGCAAUAUUUAGAAAGAUGGGAAGAAUUUAUUUACUUUGAUUUGCAAUAAGAUCAAUAAAAUGGUGUUUUAUUUUGGUGAGGCCAUUGGCAAAACCAGAAUCGAAUGGCUUAUAUAAAAACGAAUGUAUUAGUUUGAACUAGCUACAAUUUCAUUGUUUCUUGUGCCUCCUUUCCAUUCCUAUUAUAUUUUGCUGAUUGCACUUAUUUUAACUAUCACACUUUUUGUUUGUAUUUCCAUGUAAAGUCUUGAUAACGUUUGUCCAUAUGGUGAAAAAAAUCAUAUGGAGACUGGACCCACCAACGAGAAGACUCUGACAACACACCAGUGUAACAUCCACUCAGUAAACUCACACAGACAAGCCUGAAUGCUGACUGCUUAAGAAAAGGGAUGAGUGUAAGCUGCUAAAAGCCAGACUCUGCCAAGUCUGUCAUACUGCUCUCCUGAAUCACCCUCCUGACCAACACGCACUGCUGAUACCAAAGACUUUGACUGAAAUACAUUGUGUGUUUUUUUCUAAUCAAUUACUUUGUGUUUGAUGUAAUUUGAUGUGCCUAAACACUGUAUUAUCAAAAAAUCUGAUUUUGAAUGUACUUUUUCUCUAUUUUUUUUAAUCUUCAUAAUUUUUCUGAACUCAUAUUUCUUUUUACUUAUGACUGUGUACUGACUGAUCUUUUGUGUGCUGCAGGUGAAGUGUUAUGGUUCUAAUAAAAUAUAAUAAAAUGGACAAGAUAUUUGCCAA